rnacentral:lncRNA from 1 species
AGGAGGAAGGCCAGGCCCGUGUGGCGACCUGGAGCAAGGGUUGGCUUUCAGCGGUGGCCACAAUGGCUGCUCACUGCCGGGGCACAGAGCUCGGAGGAAAGACAAACUUCAAGCCUUCAUUGAAAAUGGGACGCCUCUGCCUGGAAAGAAAGACUACUAAAUGAGACAGCAGACGGAGCCCUUAGAGGACGCUAUUGAAACAUGUCACUAGAAAUGGUUUAAGUGGAGAGUUCUGGUCCUUUCAAAACACUGCCUGUCGCUUGAGGAUUGGGUCACCUUGAAAUGUGUUCAUCUUUGAAUUAAAGGCAUGAAAAGGC